UACAGAGGUCUCAAGCGUUGUUCGGAUUCAUUGGACGUAAAGGGUGCGUAGGCGGCGCGGUAAGUCGGGUGUGAAAUCUUGGAGCUUAACUCCGAAACUGCAUUCGAUACUGCCGUGCUUGAGGACUGGAGAGGAGACUGGAAUUUACGGUGUAGCGGUGAAAUGCGUAGAUAUCGUAAGGAAGACCAGUGGCGAAGGCGGGUCUCUGGACAGUUCCUGACGCUGAAGCACGAAGGCCAGGGGAGCAAACGGGG
rnacentral:rRNA from 1 species